rnacentral:rRNA from 1 species
GACGAACGCUGGCGGCGUGCUUAACACAUGCAAGUCGAGCGGAAAGGCCUCUUCGGGGGUACUCGAGCGGCGAACGGGUGAGUAACACGUGAGUAAUCUGCCUCUGGCUUCGGGAUAGCCACCGGAAACGGUGAUUAAUACCGGAUACGACACAUCACUGCAUGGUGGGUGUGUGGAAAGUUUUUUCGGCCAGGGAUGCGCGCGCGGCCUAUCAGCUUGUUGGUGGGGUAAUGGCCGACCAAGGCUUCGACGGGUAGCCGGCCUGGGAGGGUGAACGGCCACACGGGGACUGAGACACGGCCCAGACUCCUACGGGAGGCAGCAGUGGGGAAUAUUGGACAAUGGGCGGAAGCCUGAUCCAGCAACGCCGCGUGAGGGAUGACGGCCUUCGGGUUGUAAACCUCUUUCAGCACAGACGAAGCGCAAGUGACGGUAUGUGCAGAAGAAGGACCGGCCAACUACGUGCCAGCAGCCGCAGUAACAC